rnacentral:rRNA from 1 species
GAAAUGCGAUAAGUAAUGUGAAUUGCAGAAUUCAGUGAAUCAUCGAAUCUUUGAACGCACCUUGCGCCCUCUGGUAUUCCGGAGGGCAUGCCUGUUUGAGUGUCAUUAAAUUCUCAACUUUAUAAGUUUUUACUUAUUAAAGCUUGGAUGUUGGAGGCUUGCAGGCGUUUGUCAGCUCCUCUUAAAUUUAUUAGUGGGAACCCUGUUUUGUUAGUUCUAACCUUGGUGUGAUAAUUAUCUACAUUUUGGUGGAACCUUACAAUAAUAAAGCUCUAUUGGUUUGGGUUGUUGCAUUUAGUUUGCUCAAUCUGUUCUAUUCAUUGGAGAAAAAGGGAAGUUCCGCUUUCUAACUGUCUUGAUUGACUAUAUAUAACUUAUUUGCUUGACCUCAAAUCAGGUAGGAUUACCCGCUGAACUUAA